rnacentral:rRNA from 1 species
GGUUAAGCGACUAAGCGUACACGGUGGAUGCCCUGGCAGUCAGAGGCGAUGAAGGACGUGCUAAUCUGCGAAAAGCGCCGGCGAGGUGAUAUGAACCUUUGACCCGGCGAUGUCCGAAUGGGGAAACCCAGUGUGWUYCGWCACACUAUCGUUAACUGAAUACAUAGGUUAACGAGGCGAACCGGGGG